ACGAAGGGGGCUAGCGUUGUUCGGAUUUACUGGGCGUAAAGCGCACGUAGGCGGAUUGGUCAGUUAGGGGUGAAAUCCCAGAGCUCAACUCUGGAACUGCCCUUAAUACUGCCAAUCUCGAGUCCGGAAGAGGUGAGUGGAACUCCUAGUGUAGAGGUGGAAUUCGUAGAUAUUAGGAAGAACACCAGUGGCGAAGGCGGCUCACUGGUCUGGUACUGACGCUGAGGUGCGAAAGCGUGGGGAGCAAACAGGA
rnacentral:rRNA from 1 species